AUGGAACUGGGCCACAUGACAAGCCCUAGUUGCAAGAGAGGAUAUUUGGGGAAAAAAAUGAAGGCUGUUUCACAUCUGUUCCUGAGUUGUCCACCUGGCUGCUGUCCCCAGUUUCAUGUGCCAGUGGUUACAAUCCUCUCCAUAGAUGCUACACCCUGCUUUGGCACAGUACCAGGUAAGGGGGGAAUGAGGCCAGGCCCUCUCUUUCUGCUGUCUGCACAGUCAUCACACGGAUUGAAUGUGUGUACUGGAUUUGCAAAGGGUUCAGGUGACGACAUUCAUUCACUCAACUAGUUCUUUUUUUGACCACCUACUAUGUGCCAGGUAUUCUACUAGGAGCUGGGGUACAAGAGUAAAGAGACAGACAUGCCAUUUUUAAAGUUGAGGGGGUAGCAGGGAAAAGUAUCAUUACAAAAAUCAAUACCCAAAUUCAUGAUUUUAAGUUGUGAUAAUGUGCUAUGAAGGAAAAGGAGACUGUGUGUUGAGAGAGAAUAACAGAGGAGACUAUUUCAAUGGGGACGAAAAGAAGCGUCAGGAAAGGCCACCUAAGGUAGGAUAUUUAAGGAAAAUAUCCCUACCUUAUAUUCAGACCGGGGGGAAUUAAUACAAGGUAUUCCAAAAAAAAAAAAAGGAGGGGAAAAGGAAAAGAAAGAGAGAGGUGGGAGGAGGGAGGCAUUCCCCACAGAGGGAGCAAUUUGUGCAAAGGCACUGAGGUGGGAAAUAAUUUGACAUAUUAAGGAACUGAAAACAGCCAGGGAAAGGGAAAAAGAGAGGAAGCUGGCACCUCUAUGCAAAUAUGUACACAAAUAAUUUUACAUAAAUGGGAUCAUACUGUAUGCAGUUUCUAAACUUUUAUUUUUCACCACAUCAUUAAUGUAAAUAACCAAUACUCGGCAAAGGUUUUUUUUUUUUUUUUUUAUCCAGUUUCUGUAAGGGCAAGAAACAUAUUCUGAUGGCUGAUUGAAAUGCUAACUGACUAGAGGGUAUUAUGCUAAGUGAAAUUAGUCAGAGAAAGACAAAUAUCAUAUGACUUCACUCAUAUGAGGAAUUUAAGAUACAAAACAGAUAAACAUAAGGGAAGGGAAGCAAAAGAAUGUAAAAACAGGGAGGGGGACAAAACAUAAGACACUCUUAAAUAUGGAGAACAAACAGAGGGUUACCGGAGGGGUUGUGGGAGCGGGGAUGGGCUACAUGGAUAAGGGGCAUCAAGGAAUCUACUCCUGAAAUCAUUGUUGCACUAUAUGCUAACUAACUUGGUGUAAAUUAAAAAAUAAAUUAAUUUAAAAAAACA
rnacentral:lncRNA from 1 species